rnacentral:rRNA from 1 species
UACGUAGGGGGCGAGCGUUGUCCGGAUUUAUUGGGCGUAAAGAGCGUGUAGGCGGCCAGGUAGGUCUGCUGUGAAAACUCGAGGCUCAACCUCGAGACGUCGGCGGAAACCAUCUGGCUAGAGUCCGGAAGAGGAGAGUGGAAUUCCUGGUGUAGCGGUGAAAUGCGCAGAUAUCAGGAGGAACACCGGUGGCGAAGGCGGGUCACUGGACCGGUUCUGACGCUGAUGCGCGAAAGCGUGGGGAGCAAACGGG